rnacentral:rRNA from 1 species
GCCUGGUAGCGGGGGAUAACUAUUGGAAACGAUAGCUAAUACCGCAUAACAGUAGAUAUUGCAUGAUAUCUGCUUGAAAGGUGCAAAUGCAUCACUACCAGAUGGACCUGCGUUGUAUUAGCUAGUUGGUGAAGUAACGGCUCACCAAGGCGACGAUACAUAGCCGACCUGAGAGGGUGAUCGGCCACACUGGGACUGAGACACGGCCCAGACUCCUACGGGAGGCAGCAUG